AUGGAACAAUGUAGGCAAGGGAAGUCGGCAAAACGGAUCCGUAACUUCGGGAAAAGGAUUGGCUCUGAGGACUGGGCUUGGGGGUCCCGGCCCCGAACCCGUCGGCUGUCGACGGAUUGCUCGAGCUGCUCACGCAGCGAGAGCGGGUCGCCACGUGCCGGCCGGGGGACGGACCGGGAAUCGCCCCUUAGGGGGCUUUCCUCGAGCAUGAAACAGUCGACUCAGAACUAGUACGAACAAGGGGAAUCUGACUGUUUAAUUAAAACAAAGCAUUGCGAUGGUCCUCGCGGAUGCUGA
rnacentral:rRNA from 1 species